CAGGUGCUGCAUGGCUGUCGUCAGCUCGUGCUGUGAAGUGUUGGGUUAAAGUCCCGCAACGAGCGCAACCCCUGCUGCCUGUUGCCACCACGAGAGGUGGGGACUCAGGCGGGACCGCCGGUGACAAACCGGAGGAAGGUGGGACGACGUCAAGUCAUCAUGGCCCUUAUGUCCUGGGCUACACACGUGCUACAAUGGCCGGUACAGAGCGCAGCGAGGCCGCGAGGCGGAGCGAAUCGCUUAAAGCCGGUCCCAGUACGGAUUGGAGUCUGCAACCCGACUCCAUGAAGUUGGAAUCGCUAGUAAUCGCGCAUCAGCAUGGCGCGGUGAAUACGUUCCCGGGCCUU
rnacentral:rRNA from 1 species